GUAGGUGGCAAGCGUUGUCCGGAAUUAUUGGGCGUAAAGCGCGCGCAGGCGGUUCUUUAAGCCUGAUGUGAAAGCCCACGGGCUCAACCGUGGAGGGUCAUUGGAAACUGGAGAACUUGAGUACAGAAGAGGAAAGCGGAAUUCCACGUGUAGCGGUGAAAUGCGUAGAGAUGUGGAGGAACACCAGUGGCGAAGGCGGCUUUCUGGUCUGUAACUGACGCUGAGGCGCGAAAGCGUGGGGAGCAAACAGGAUUAGAUACCCUGGUAGUCCACGCCGUAAACGAUGAGUGCUAAGUGUUAGGGGGUUUCCGCCCCUUAGUGCUGCAGCUAACGCAUUAAGCACUCCGCCUGGGGAGUACGACCGCAAGGUUG
rnacentral:rRNA from 1 species